CUUUCUGCUUAAUUAUAUUAUAUUAUCUAGAGACAAAAAAAAAUUAUUUUUUUGGAUUUGGCAUACUCAGUAUUUGUCUUUCUAUAUGAUCAAAAGGAUAAUGAUAGUUCUGUUAGGAUACUUGUAAGAUUAAAAAGGUUACGCCUGCAAUAAGAUCAUUUAUAUUAGCUCCACCUUACCAAAGCAAUCAAAUCAUGGCCAAAUUCCCUGUUUCCUCAUCUCUUGAUGGACUUACUUCAUAUGAAGGCAUUCCCACAUUGUAUGAAUUAAUUGGAGUAGUUCGUUUUCUAGAUUUUCUUGUUUUUAGCUAUCUCCUUUUUGACUUUCUAGUUCUUCUCUUAUUAUAUUGUAAAAGAAUCGAACAAGUAUGUAGAGCUCACCAUGAUCACCUUUGUUUUCUAUACUAUAAAGCAAAUGGUGAUUUCAAUUAGAUGCUCUUUAGUUUUGGCUGUUAGGCACUAGUUCUGCCAUUUUCCAUUCUCAUUAUCUAGUCAUUUAUGAUCGAUCAAUUUGAAAGCUGAAAAAUAUUUAGUUUUGUCUUUGCUGUAAAGAAACAUUCUUUUUACUUUAUUUAGUAUAAUGCUUUGGGUUGUGCUAGUGUAAGGGAAAAGCUUUAGAUCUUUGGGUUCGGUAAAGGUAAAUGCUGAACAGAGACUCCCGAUUAGAAAUAGUAAAAAUCGUAAUGCAGCGGCUUCUUAUCUGAAUGAGCUAGCUCAGAAUACGAAUCUUGCACCUCCUGGUUUUGAUCCACUAGAAGAUGAUGUUUCCCUCCCUCAAGAAGUUGAAGUGAUGCAAGACACUCAAAGAAGCAAAAUAAGUCCAUGUGAAUCUGAAAAGGCAAAAAAGUGAGAGAAAAGAACAGAUGUAAAAAUGUUCUAGGACUCAAAGUUGGAGAAAAGUUGAGCGUGACUCUCUACCACAAUCGAGCUGUUGGGAAGCAUUCAGCCACAUUUGUGAGACACUUAGGUAUAUUAGUUCGUGAUCGUAAUAUUAUGUGUCCAUUGCGCGUACACUCGUAGGCGGAUAUCGAAGAAUAUAAGUUGGACCACAUGUGGGAAACUGUUACUGUAAGAAUUUAAAGUAUUACUUUAAUUUGUUCUUUUGCCUUUUUCUUUUCUUCUUUCACAAAUGAAAAGAAAAAUAAUUUUGAAC